rnacentral:tRNA from 1 species
GGGCGGAUGGCGGAAUUGGUAGACGCGCAAGCUUGAGGGGCUUGUGAGAGCAAUCUCGUGGAGGUUCAAGUCCUCUUUCGCCCACCA